rnacentral:tRNA from 1 species
CAUGGCUCAGUUGGUAGAGCACGUCACUUGCAAAGGCAGUGUUGUGGGUUUGAUUCCCAUUG